AUUGAACGCUGGCGGCAGGCCUAACACAUGCAAGUCGAACGAGUGGCGGACGGGUGAGUAAUGUCUGGGAAACUGCCUGAUGGAGGGGGAUAACUACUGGAAACGGUAGCUAAUACCGCAUACCAUCGGAUGUGCCCAGAUGGGAUUAGCUAGUAGGUGGGGUAAAGGCUCACCGAGGCGACGAUCCCUAGCUGGGCUGAGAGGAUGACCAGCCAACCUGGACCGGAGAACCGGCCCGAACUCCUCCGGGGGCCACAAGUGGGGAAUAUUGCACAAUGGGGGAAAGCCUGAUGCAGCCAGGCGGCGUGUAUGAAGAAGGCCUUCGGGUUGUAAAGUACUUUCAGCGGGGAGGCGUUACCCGCAGAAGAAGCACCGGCUAACUACGUGCCAGCAGCCGCGGUAAUAC
rnacentral:rRNA from 1 species